GAUCAUUAGCCCGAGAGCAUCCCAGCUGGGUGGAGGCUGAGGAGGCGGGGACGCGGUGGCGGGCGGCGAAGCAAGGUGGAGGCAGGAAGGCAGAAGACCAGAUUGAUGACAGCAUGAGGUGGCUCUUGGGCAGCAGCUGGAGAAAAUUCGGACACGCCGACAGGGGAAACUACGACUGGCUCAACAGUGAACCGGGGGGGCCGCUGCUGGAAACGGAGCUUCAGAGCAGACAGCAGCCAAGUUCAACCAAAGAUGACAUAGAACCUUUUCUGUGCAUCAUAUUGCCUGCCACCAUGAUGCUCUUCCUGGCAUUCCUGCUGCUCUUCCUCUACCGCCGCUGCCAGCGCCCCGCUCCGCAGGGGCAGAUCUUCAGCAUCGACCUCCCCGAGGCCCUGCCCGAGCACGACGUGUCCAAUUUCCUUUCCGUCCUGCCCUGGAACAGCGAACAGAGUUUCCACUACUCCACGCUGCUGCCUGACGCCACCUUCCUCACCGUGUGUUUGCCUCCGUCCUACGAGGAGGCCACCAUGAAGACUUCCAUGGACGAGGCUCACAUUGAGCUCUCUCCAGACCCAGUGCCUCCUUACGAAGAGAGCACGCUGCAGCCCAGCGGCGCCAAAUAAAACUUCCUACGGAAGCACCCGAGCUGAAGCACGCAGCCCCUUCAAGGCACAAUCGUGGAACUGCUAUGGCCUUUAAAAGUAGCAACAAGAUUCCCAACGAGGCGCCGUACCAACAAAUUAACACAGGAAGGAACUUGGGAAUGAGCCUCUCUUCGCCUCACCCUAGGAUUCUCCACCUUUAAGGAUUAAACUUAAGGACAGGUGGGAAUCCGUCCCUCUGCAACCCCUCAGCUACAAGGAAACAUGGAUUAUGCCACAGAUUCACCUGUCGCAAAAAGGGCUUUUAGCACAUACCUAUUCCGGGUUUGGCUUUUUCUUUUUUUACAUGUUUAUUUUUAAUGGAGUUUCUGACAAGCUGAUUUACUCCCUCUGUGUGUGUGUGUGUCAACAGCUCUCAGGAAAGUAAAUAAACAUACAACCUCUACAAAAACUUCCA
rnacentral:lncRNA from 1 species